UUAAUUCAUUCUCUCCAAUCCAAAUGAAAACAAUGAAAAGAAAUGCAUAGCGUGGCCCACCUACUGGGCGUGACUCUCUUCUUUCCCAUUCUCAUCUAUUCUUUUAAAGCAAGUAAAAUAUCAAGAUGAAAUUUAAUCAUCUUUGGACCGUGGCUGUCACCAAUCAAUGAAGCCAUCACUUCUUCAUUCUAAGGAAAAUAAAGGCAAAGAACCUAGCCAAUAUUCACCUACCAACAUCCAA
rnacentral:lncRNA from 1 species